CGGAACGUAUCGUGAAGUGGGGGAUAGCUCGGCGAAAGCCGGAUUAAUACCGCAUACGAUCUCCGGAUGAAAGUGGGGGACCGCAAGGCCUCACGCUUCUCGAGCGGCCGAUCUCUGAUUAGCUAGUUGGUGGGGUAAGAGCCUACCAAGGCGAUGAUCAGUAGCUGGUCUGAGAGGAUGAUCAGCCACACUGGGACUGAGACACGGCCCAG
rnacentral:rRNA from 1 species